CGGAGUAGACCACAUAUGUUUCUGGAAAAGCUUUCACCACAUCGGUUUGGUGAAGAUCAAAGCUUUCAAACCCAGAAAGAUGAUUUAUCGCUGUGAAAAAUCCCAUCCUACCCAAAUAUCAAGAUUCCAUGUGAGAGAAAAUAUUCUUCUACGCUCCUUUAAAAUCCUCAUCUUCUUUGAAAUCUUCUAAUUCUUUCUAGAAAAUCAGGAAAAUAAUAGAUCAGAACAUGAUACUCAAUGGACUCAAAUGAAAGAUUUUCAUAUAGGGAAACUAACCAAAGAGAGAGAUGCAAAGAGACAUAUACCUAACUCCAUAAUGAAGUAUCUUCAAGUGGUAGUGACUAGCGACGACAAACCACCGUGAAGAGGAAGGGGAGGAAGUGGCGAACCACGGUGAACAAGAAGAGGACAAGCGGCUACCUUGAAGCUGAAGAGCAAAAGCG
rnacentral:lncRNA from 1 species